CUGGAGGUGAUGCAGAUAUUGAUACCUGAUGUCAACUGAAGGUUAUCGUAUUCAUACUGUCUGAUCUAG